ensembl:snRNA U6 U6 spliceosomal RNA
GUGCUUGCUUUGGCAGCACUUAUACUAAAAUUAGAACAAUAUAAAGAAGAUUACCAUAUACCAUAGUCUCUGUGCAAGGAUGACCACAAAUUUUGAUGUGUUUCAUAUUUUG